rnacentral:rRNA from 1 species
UGAGGAAUAUUGGUCAAUGGACGAAAGUCUGAACCAGCCAUGCCGCGUGAAGGAAUAAGGCCCUAUGGGUCGUAAACUUCUUUUGUAUGUGAGCAAUAAGGUCCACGUGUGGACCGAUGAGAGUAGCAUACGAAUAAGCAUCGGCUAACUCCGUGCCAGCAGCCGCGGUAAUACGGAGGAUGCAAGCGUUAUCCGGAUUUAUUGGGUUUAAAGGGUGCGUAGGCGGACGGUUAAGUCAGCGGUAAAAUCGAGAGGCUCAACCUCUUCCGGCCGUUGAAACUGGCCAUCUUGAGUGAGCGAGAAGUAUGCGGAAUGCGUGGUGUAGCGGUGAAAUGCAUAGAUAUCACGCAGAACUCCGAUUGCGAAGGCAGCAUACCGGCGCUCAACUGACGCUGAAGCACGAAAGCGUGGGGAUCAAACAGGAUUAGAUACCCUGGUAGU